rnacentral:rRNA from 1 species
GUCUUAAUGAUUUUAAUUUUAAGUCUAAUCUGCCCAAUGAAUUUAUUUAAAUGGCUGCAGUAUUUUUGACUGUACAAAGGUAGCAUAAUAAUUUGUUUUUUAAUUAAAAACUAGAAUGAAAGAUUUAAUGAAAUAAAUUCUGUUUCAAUUUAAUAUUAAUUUAAUUUAUUAUUUAAGUAAAAAAACUUAAAUAAAUUAUUAAGACGAUAAGACCCUAUAGAAUUUUAUUUUUUAAUUAAAUAAUAUUAAAUUUAUUUAAUAAAAAAAUUUAAUUGGGGUAAUUAAAAAAUUUAAUUAAUUUUUUUUUAAUCUUACAUAUAUUUAUGAAUUUUAUACCUUAAUUAUUUAAAUUAAAAAAAUUAAUUACCUUAGGGAUAACAGCAUAAUAUU